UAUUGGGCAAUGGGCGCAAGCCUGACCCAGCAACGCCGCGUGAAGGAAGAAGGCUUUCGGGUUGUAAACUUCUUUUGUCGGGGACGAAACAAAUGACGGUACCUGAGGAAUAAGCCACGGCUAACUACGUGCCAGCAGCCGCGGUAAUACGUAGGUGGCAAGCGUUAUCCGGAUUUACUGGGUGUAAAGGGCGUGUAGGCGGGAAGGCAAGUCAGAUGUGAAAACUAUGGGCUCAACCCAUAGCCUGCAUUUGAAACUGUUUUUCUUGAGUGCUGGAGAGGCAAUCGGAAUUCCGUGUGUAGCGGUGAAAUGCGUAGAUAUACGGAGGAACACCAGUGGCGAAGGCGGAUUGCUGGACAGUAACUGACGCUGAGGCGCGAAAGCGUGGGUAUCAAACA
rnacentral:rRNA from 1 species